GGUAGACCAUAUGUUUGCUGAAGAAGGUAAGAUCCAUGUUAAAUUGAUGUAAUUGAGAAAAUCCACUAUCCAAAGAAGGCGGAAAGCUGAGACUAGCCAACAAUAAGUGGGAAAGAAUCCAUUGAAGCAAGGUGCACUGUAUGUCUAUCUGAAUAUCAUGAAGAAGACACAUUGCGCAUCCUACCCCUAUGCCGACACUCCUUCCAUGCAACUUGCAUCGACGUAUGGCUGCAGCAACACUCCACGUGUCCAGUGUGUAGAAUUUCUCUCCGUGAGCUUCCUGAGCGAAAGUGGUUUAUGCAACCGAUGUUCAGCUCAGCCAUCCGCUCUCAGUACAGUAUGCAGUCGGUAAAUGCACAUUACUGCAAUUGCAUGGCAAACAGCGAGAGGCGUUCAUCUGGGUCGCACAACAACCAAGAAACGGACCCGAUACAGGACGGUCGUUGCCAGCCCGAGGGAGACCGAGUUAACGACUUGGUCUCCGUUAAUCAUGAUGCGCCGACCAAAGAUUCUGCAUUUAGGAAAGUGGAGAGCCCGUCUAGUCGGUAAGGUCGUGGAUGCUUGUUUUCGUCGAUAUUCAUCUACUUUUUGCUUUCUGUAAAUAUGGCAGCACCGAUGCUUCUUCCUACCUGUCUCUUUUGCUCCUUUUAGCUUUGUAUGCUGCAUUUUUUUACCUGUAGAUGGCAGUUUUGUUAGUUCAGUAAGAAAACAAUGUUAUGUAGUUAA